rnacentral:rRNA from 1 species
UACGGAAGGUCCGGGCGUUAUCCGAAUUUAUUGGGUUUAAAGGGAGCGUAGGCCGGAGAUUAAGCGUGUUGUGAAAUGUAGACGCUCAACGUCUGCACUGCAGCGCGAACUGGUUUCCUUGAGUACGCACAAAGUGGGCGGAAUUCGUGGUGUAGCGGUGAAAUGCUUAGAUAUCACGAAGAACUCCGAUUGCGAAGGCAGCUCACUGGAGCGCAACUGACGCUGAAGCUCGAAAGUGCGGGUAUCGAACAGG